GGCAAGGAGCGGAUACGGCCAGGUGUCAGAGCUGCUGGAGACAGACUCAUCACACCAUGGCAGCCACUGCUCCAUGCAUGUUCCGGGAAGUAGUGGGAGCCAGCCACAGGAGCCAUCUUAGCAAGGGGGUGGGCACCCCCAGGAACAUUACUGAAUUUACAGCCUGUACCCAGCGUGGAAACAUGAUGUUGGUGGAAACCGUUCCUGGCAAGGUUGCCAGCUCUCUGACUGAAAGGGGAAAACAAGCUUUCCAGUGUUUUCAACUCCUAAGAAACCAACUGAACCAGUUGAAUAAACUGAAAUAAAGAAACUAUUCUCUGCAGAAGAUACUACUGCUGUCAAAAGAUGUCUCAAUAGCAUAUCCUUUCCUGUUGCUCCCAGAUGUCAUACACUGAGCUAUGGUUAUGAUCUGUCCCAAGGUUUGAGACCAGUCUCUGUUAUUUUGGAUUUGGAGGAAACCUAUCUGCAAGCCAGAUGCCAACACAUCUUUCCUCAUGGACCACACACCCUCCCCCAGACAAAAAAUGUAUUUAAGAAAAAAGUCGGAAUAUGUUCAAUAUUCUGAGACCUGUGCCUUACCCCUUAGAGUAUGUUUGGAUGGUUUACUCCAAAUUAAAAUUGCCUGACCUGAAACCAAAGAAGUUUCAUUGUUAGUACAGGAUCACUACA